rnacentral:lncRNA from 1 species
UCACCGCAGAGUUUCUCCCGACCCGCCUCCCAGGACAAAACAGCUUACAGUAUUUUAAAAGCUGUCUUUGGACUUGCUUACGCAGGUAUGCAGGGUAUUAGGAUCACAUUCUAAAUAAUAAACGAAGCCCAAUUGAACUCACUUCUGAGCAGACUGGGGCUGGAUUGAGCUAAACUUCAAUUCUAUGCGCCGCCUUGGGCCGCGUUCAAGGCGGCCUAUAGAAGAACAAUGAAGCCAAACAGAUCCAUCGUGUCCAACGAUCCGUAUCUCAAAAAUACGGAUCCACAUACAAAUAUCGGCAACCUGAAACUAAAAAUGCAAUAAAAUAGACUCCAACAGCUCAUCUGAAAAAACAACAACUGUGCCUCGCACCUCCUCGUCACUUUCUCUAGAUAUGUAGUGAUAUCCAUGUUAAUCGUUAUUAACCUAAUUGACUUAGUUCCAAAAUCUGGGUAGCGGCAAAGAGCAGGUUGGCAGACAAAGAAGCGCUUAUUCCUGGGCCUUUCCCGUGAAACAGGAUCCGUCUUCUUUAGGGUUAACGUCAGGCACCAGGCCUUCCUUCGUGGUGGGUUUGGGGUUUUUGCGCCUUUCGCUGGCCAGGUGAAGGCUCUUCUGUUUCCCUCCUCGCGCUGCCAGCUUCAAAUGCAAAAUAAUAAGGCCCAGGGCGCAAGCAGGCGGGUUUCCUGAGCGAAUAACUCCUAUUGAAAUGAAUGGGGAGGCGAAGAGGGCACCGUUUUAGCAUUUCAUUUGCAAGUACAAGGCAAGGUCCAGCUAACGUGGAGCACUUCUAGUGCAACCCUAUCAAGCCUUGUCAAAAGCAAGGCGCACGGACUUCCAGGGCUCACUCCCAACCUCAGAUAACAUAGGACUUCAACCUUAAGAGCACAUCGAAAUCGAAGGGCAAUGCCACUCCAAAGGAGACCAGCGCAAGAAAACUUCCCAGUGGAUCGUGCCCAUAUAGUGCUUACCUCGAGCCUUUCAAUUUUAGGUUUUUUAAAAAAGAAGAAAAGUGUCAUAUAUACUAACUCAAUCAUACAAACACUCAUUUUCCCCCAUAUAAGGCGUCACAGAUUAUAUCAGCGACUUCACCACCGAAGCAGCAUGAGAAAAGGACCCUCCGGCUCUCAACUCUCACCCAUCUGCUUUCACAGAACCACAUAGUUGGAAGGGACCACGAGGGUCAUCUAGUCCGACCCUCCUGCCCAACGUGGGGCUCCAACCUGCCACCCUGAGAUUAAGAGCCUCAUGCUAUACUAACUGGGCUGUCCGCUUACUCAGGUGGAGGAGACUAGUGGGGCAAGCGAACUGCAACCAGGCGCUGCUGGAAAACAAGACCGUUUCCUUGGGUUAAAGAAUGCGCGCGCCGCUUGCCAAUGUGUCCGGUUCGGUGCAAGGGGGUGCUACGAUGCAGCGCAGCCUUAACCAGGCUGAUACGGUGGGAAACUCUCAGGUAAGUGUGCCUUAGGGGACGCCGCUAUUACAGGCCCGACACCCUCCUUCCACACACCAUGGCAAUAAGCGGGCCAAGUUCUCGUAGCGGCCUGGUUAGUAAAAGCACCGUUAGUUGGGAGUGUGCUGGAUAACCCUAAAGAAAAAGGAGCACCCUAGAGGAGCCUGCGGGGUGGGGGUGGGGGCAGGAUCAGGUUAGAAGAAUAUAUACAGUGGUACCUCGGGUUACAGACGCUUCAGGUUACAGAUGCUUCAGGUUACAGACUCCGCUAACCCAGAAAUAGUACCUCGGGUUAAGAACUUUGCUUCAGGAUGAGAACAGAAAUCGUGCUCCGGUGGCGCAGCGGCAGCAGGAGGCCCCAUUAGCUAAAGUGGUGCUUCAGGUUAAGAACAGUUUCAGGUUAAGAACAGACCUCCAGAACGAAUUAAGUACUUAACCCGAGGUACCACUGUAGUUCCGAAAGAAAAGGAAGGCUUAGCUGUCUUUAAGCUGGGCAGGAUUUUCGCCGGCUCUCUGUCUAGACGGCAGGGGAGCUUUGGGGCGGAAGGGAGCAACCCUAGAGGCACAAUGGGUCAGUGCACCCGGUUGCUUCGAGUCCACCCUACCCAGGGACUGCUGUGGGCAGGAUUCCUGCAUUGCAGGGGGUUGGACUAGAUGACCCCCGGGAUCCCUCCAUGAUUCUAAGUGUCCGCAGCCCAGCCCACCUGCAAGCAGCCCUGUUUACAAAGUCCUCGCCAUGCUUUUGCGGGAGAAGUGUAGCGGCGCCUCCUCCUCUCAUUAGCUCUCCCAACAAUGCCUCCCGGAUGAGACAGGCCGGGAGUGGGCCUGCGACUCUUAGAUUUGCAGAUCUUCCCUUUCCCUCUCUGCCCUUUCCCUUUUUCUCCCGCCUGCACAUUACAUUUCAGUCAUGCUUUGCAGCAGAACACGAUAUCCCCCAAAGAACCCAAAGAAGAGACAGAGAGAGGGAGGGAGGGAGGGAGAGAUACCCUGACAGCAACCAUUAGUUAAGAAAAACCCUCGCGCAAGAGUAUCAGCUAAUUAAGAUUCUGUUUAGCAAUCCUGGAUGGAAUGUUAAUGUUUCCCUCGGAAGGAGCGAGGAGGGAGGGAAUGCAGUGGAAGGGGAGGGAUAAACCCAAAACACCCCCAGCAGCACCACCUAGCCCUGUUUUCUGAAGAGGAAUGCUGAUGCAGGGUGAUAACAUCACUUGCUUGUGUCCAAGGUCUGCCCAAGCCUGUUAGAAAGCCAUUAUCUCAAAUUACUCCUGUACUUCAUUCGCUCCCUCUCCCUCUCUGGUUUGGGGCUGAGCGAGCUUCCCUUGGCGUUGCAGCCGUGCCUGGAGCCUGGCAAAAGCCAAUACUCUCUGAGGGAGAUGGAGGCUGAAUCGAGCUUCUCUCUUUUUUCGCUUCGAACGCUCUUGGCCUGUCCCCAAAUCCUUGGGCAAAUAUAGCCCUCAAUCGCUGUAAGCCCGAUUAGGAUCUCUCCGCUGGCGUCUGGGCCCCGUGUCCCCUGGGGACUCAGCUGACCCCUUUGAAGCCCCUUCCUCUCUUGCUUACAGCGAAGUUGACAUGAUUAACUGGGGGGUUUUUACAAGGCGAAGUUCGUUAGCUCCCAACACUCAACACCUUCGAGGGGUGGAGAAACAGGAGGGAGAAUAAAAGGAAAAUAUACCCUGAGUUGACCUGCUGCACGUUUAGCUCCGGAAAGGUUCCCUUGGGGCCUAUUCACAGGAAGGUGGGGAACCAGGUAGGUGGCUGUACCACUUUGUACUGUGUGCGUUUGUGACAUGAAGGAAUGCACCUCUGUAUAAAAUGUUUCUGUGCACAGAAAGGCCUUCUGGCCUCUCCAACCCCUGCAAUAGGCAGCCAUUCUCUGAACAAGACAUUUUGGUACAUAGGGAGAAGCAUCCAGAGGUAUGAAGUGUGAGCUGAAGUGGUACAACCCGGACACAAGUUGUUCACCUCCAGGCCUUUGACAUGAUCUAGCC